UACGAAGGGGGCUAGCGUUGUUCGGAAUUACUGGGCGUAAAGCGCGCGCAGGCGGUCUUCCAAGUCAGUGGUGAAAUCCUGGAGCUCAACUCCAGAACUGCCUUUGAUACUGAGGAUCUUGAGUUCGGGAGAGGUGAGUGGAACUGCGAGUGUAGAGGUGAAAAUUCGUAGAUAUUCGCAAGAACCACAGUGGCGAAGGCGGCUCACUGGCCCG
rnacentral:rRNA from 1 species